ACUCCUACGGGAGGCAGCAGUGGGGAAUAUUGCACAAUGGGCGCAAGCCUGAUGCAGCCAUGCCGCGUGUAUGAAGAAGGCCUUCGGGUUGUAAAGUACUUUCAGCAGUGAGGAAGGCGGAGUCGUUAAUAGCGGCCUCGUUUGACGUUAGCUGCAGAAGAAGCACCGGCUAACUCCGUGCCAGCAGCCGCGGUAAUACGGAGGGUGCGAGCGUUAAUCGGAAUUACUGGGCGUAAAGCGCAUGCAGGUGGUUCGUUAAGUCAGAUGUGAAAGCCCGGGGCUCAACCUCGGAAUUGCAUUUGAAACUGGCAGACUAGAGUACUGUAGAGGGGGGUAGAAUUUCAGGUGUAGCGGUGAAAUGCGUAGAGAUCUGAAGGAAUACCGGUGGCGAAGGCGGCCCCCUGGACAGAUACUGACACUCAGA
rnacentral:rRNA from 1 species